CCUACGGGGGGCAGCAGUGGGGAAUAUUGGACAAUGGGGGAAACCCUGAUCCAGCGACGCCGCGUGAGUGAAGAAGUAUUUCGGUAUGUAAAGCUCUAUCAGCAGGGAAGAAAAAAAUGACGGUACCUGACUAAGAAGCCCCGGCUAACUACGUGCCAGCAGCCGCGGUAAUACGUAGGGGGCAAGCGUUAUCCGGAUUUACUGGGUGUAAAGGGAGCGUAGACGGCAGGGCAAGUCUGAUGUGAAAGGUCGGGGCCCAACCCCGGGACUGCAUUGGAAACUGUCCGGCUGGAGUACAGGAGAGGUAAGUGGAAUUCCUAGUGUAGCGGUGAAAUGCGUAGAUAUUAGGAGGAACACCAGUGGCGAAGGCGGCUUACUGGACUGUAACUGACGUUGAGGCUCGAAAGCGUGGGGAGCAAACAGGAUUAGAUA
rnacentral:rRNA from 1 species